rnacentral:lncRNA from 1 species
CAGAUUAAUGCUCCAAAUAUUUAACUCAUAAUCCUCAAAAUAACAGUAGGAAGUAGAUAUUAUCGUUCCUAUUUCACAAAUGAAGGAACUAAGCCUCAGAGAGGGUAAGUAACUUUCCCACAAUCAGCAUUAUUAUAUCUCAUGUCUCGAAAGGGCUAGAACCAGAGGUCAAAUCCACACAGCUGACGCCAGAACCUGCCUCCAAUAUGUGUCUGUGUCUUCUGGGCAAAGCCUUGACUCGGCUGUUUAGGGGUUAAAGAUAAUGUGUUUGUGUCUAAACCUGUACGUACUGCACAUGAGAUUCUCGAGAGAGGUGUAAAAUUUAAAGCACCUUCAAAAAACUAGUCAAACAAACCACCGUCACCUGAUUUCAAUUGCUUGACUCUUUACUUGUGGUGCACUGUCUUACAUUAUCUUGAAUUGUACUUAAUUAGUCCUAUUUCUACGAUGAAAACCUCCCUAAUUCCAAAUUUGGCUCUAAGUUCAUAGCUGAAAAUAAACAUUCAUGGUUUACACGUACUAACACAAUUCCCCUCUUAUGAGGCUUAAAAUACUAUGUGGCGAAAGGGUGAAAUCUCUGUCUAUCCAAACAUGACUAAUACGUCUGGAUUGCCUUCACUCAUUCUCUCUGAAAUUGUGCACACGUUAUACAAAGUUACCUGAAAAAUACCACCUAGCAUUUAGUCAGCACUCACCAUGCCAAGUGCUUUUUGCCCCUUAUCCCUAUAACAACUAUAAAAAGCGGUCUUAUCAGAGGCGAGUAUUUUAUUUUAAGCCGCAUCCUUCGCAAAGUGUCCUGCACAGUAGAUACGUAACAAAUGCCGGCUUAUUCAUUUUCAAUUUUGCCAUCCUUGUAUUUUCAUUCAAUUUUGCCAUCCUUGCCUAUAAUUAAUAUGUAUUAGAAACACAACUAAAUUAUAAAGAAGGUUCAGCUGUGCAAAAAAAAGGGGGGAAGCAUUUUUAUAGCAGGAAGCAUCUUAAGAUUUAACAGGAAAUCGGAGUUCCUAGUCUAAAAUAUUUAAUUACUUGCAAAGUCCUUUUAUAGCCUUUAAUGAGUCAUGUUGUAAUUCACGCAAGUCUCCUAUCUUCUGUACAUUCCUGAAUCAGAAACCUCUGUGGGCGCUGCCUGGUUUCCUGAGACAUGCACUCCUUAUAUUGGCAAAGCAUAACUAGGUUAAUCUCCUAUCUGUAACAUUUGAAAAUAAAAAGAAAUUUUAACUCUCUUAUAGAAUUAUCAAAGAAGAGCCUUUCGGUCUUUUAAGGAUUAGAAAGAAAGCAUUUAUAAUCCAAUACAUCUGCUAUCUAAUUUUGGUAAUGGAUACAUAAUUUCAUUUUUGCCAUGCAGAUAAAAGGAUAUUAAAAACACGCGUAUAUACCAAUGAAGGUGUUGCUCUAAAAGCCAUAAACAGCUGACUCCUGAUGUCUACCUUUCAUCUCAGAGAAUUCCAGAAAGCUAUGCCUGCUAACAGAACCCUGAGCUAAUUGGUCUUUUUGCUGAUGAACAAACGUAAAGAUAACAGAAAAAAAAAUGGUUGCAGACAAACAAGAAAAUCAUAAGCCUUAUGUAAUCUAUUACAUCAGUAAAGCCUUGGCAAUGCAGAUAUUCUCAGAAGAUGUACACUCUCCUCCCUAGGCAAGCCCGUGAAGGAAAGAAUUCUUAUCCAAGGCUCAACGAAAGUGCUACUUGUUUAAAUUCACAUUUCCAAUUUUUUUAAAAAAUGGAGUCGAUCAUAGGUAUUCAUGCCACUAUCAUUUCUAAGAUAUCCUCUCCUUUUUUCUUAUAGAUGUAAAAUAGCACAUAAGAGAAUGCAAGGUCCUUUUAUUUUUACUUGAUUACCCAAUUGCAUGCUAUCUUUCACAUUUGAGCAGCUAUUAAAUUUAAGUUCGUUUCCUGGAAGCUGCAAGAUACACAUGGAAGAAUAAAGUGCCCUCCCUAUGCUCAAGGAACUUAUAAUCAGGCAGGUGGAAGAUGAACAGCUUAGAGAACAAGGGCCAUAGCACCAAGCUAGGGGGGUGGAAAAAGACCUCAACUCUUGACUG